ensembl:lncRNA
GGCUGGGCUCCCGGGGGGCUGCGGUACCGGCCGGGGGCAGCCAAAGGUCCCUCAGGUAAACGGAGCCAGCGAGGACCACCAGCGUGGACCACCAGCGUGCGCCUCCGAGCGACCGAGAGCUUUCGCGAUGGCCGCGACACAUGCGCACGCAUGUACGGCGCAGGCGCACUGCGCACGCUCGCCCGAGCGCUCCUAUUUUGAGCCCAGCUUCUGGAUACCCGUCUGCAGGUUUCGUUGCACUUUACCUCGCGCCGAGGCUGAUGCCUGGCCCUGUCCUGCUCCAACGGAGUCGUUCUGCGCUCUGGAAGCUUUUCUUAAAUGCCCUCAGUCCCCUUUGCAAAGCUCUCCCUCCCUUCCCUGCUGAGACAAUGCAGCGACUCUCAUCACUCAAGCCUGGAACGCUAUUAUUGAGAGACCACCAAAACCUGUUUGAGAACCAGCGUGCCCCCUGGGAACCCGGGGAUUGGAAUUGAUUAAGAGGCUGAUUCUUAUCAAGUCAUUGUGUCUUGUGGAGCCAACACUGCCUCUACUGAAGGUGAGUGAGUGAAGCAGCUAAGAGCAUUUAUGAAAAGCAGUAUAGACCUGCUUCGGGUACUUCUAGAUCCCUUGUACCUUCAGAUCCUCUAGAGAUGUGCUGCUCUCACAGUUUUAUGCAAUUUACACAUGGUCUUGUGAAAACUGUCAGGCAUAGAACAUAUCUUGGCUCCUAGUGGGAGGUGGGAAUGAUGUAGAAAUUAUCGUUGAAUGUAUCAACAUGAUCACAUCUCAGAAAUAGACCACUGAGUGAACGAAGCGAACUACAAAGUAUGUAAAUUAUGAUAGCUCUUUAAAACAGUCACACUGUUUACAAGGCCAAACAUGUAUAUAUAAUAAGCAUAAAAAGUGGACAAGUAGGCAGCACACUAAAUUUUAUGACAGUGGAUGCCUCUAGGCAGGCAGGGUGGGAAAUGAGAUCUGGGCAGCAUGUAAAAGAGGCUUCAACUCUUAAUCACACACAUGAAGCAAAAUGUUAACAUUUUAAAAAAUCUCUGCAGGGAGAAAAGGGUGUUUCUUAGGCAAGUCUGUAAACUUUUCUUUAUGGUUGAAAUGUUCCC